rnacentral:tRNA from 1 species
AUUCUUCUAGUAUCAACUAGUACAAAUGACUUCCAAUCAUUUAGUCUCAAUUAACCCUGAGGAAGAAUA